rnacentral:rRNA from 1 species
AUUGAACGCUGGCGGCAUGCCUAACACAUGCAAGUCGAGCGGAAAAAGGUCGUCUGCUGCUGACGUGAGCCGCAGACGGGUGAAGUACGUCUUAACAUCCGCAUUGUAGUGGGAUAUAACGUCGUAAGCUGUGCUAUAAUACCGCAUGCCUUCUGGGUGAAAGCGUGGGGGAUCGUAGGAAUUCACGCUCUCGCGCCAUGCUAUGUCGGAUUAGCCAUUUGGUGGGGUAAAGGCCUACCAAGUCGACUAUCCGUAACUGGUCUGAGAGGAUGAUCAGCCACCCUGGGACUGAGACACGGACCAGACUCCUACGGGAGGCAGCAGCGGGGAAUAUUGGACUAUGGGCGAAAGCCUGAUCCAGCAAUGCCGCGUGCGUGAAGAAGGUCUUCGGAUUGUAAAGCCCUUUUAUUCGGAAGGAAAAGGCUUUGGUUAAUACCUGGGUCUGAUGACGUUACCGUAAGAAUAAGCACCGGCUAACUUCGUG